rnacentral:tRNA from 1 species
CGGGCAGUCAUUCAGUGGUUAGGAUGCUUCUCUGAUACAGAAGUUGCCGCUAGUUCGAUUCUAGCCUGCCCGA